ensembl:lncRNA
CGGAGGGCGGCGCACAGCUCGGGUGUGAGACUGCAGUCGCGGUGCUGACAGUGACCGGCUGCGUUCACUGGGGGAGGACCGAGCGCCGUCUGCGCGCGCUGCGGGACACGGGCGGCUUUCUCACCGACGCUCCCCAUCAUCAUCAUCAUCAUCAUCACCACCACCACCACCGUCACACACGCGCGCGCGCGCACACACACACACACAGUCACGAACGCAAACACACACACACACACACACACACAAUAGGGAGGGAUACCGGAGAAUAGCUAGCGCUCCAGCGGCACAGACAGAUGUGCGGUGCUCAGACUCCGCCGCGGGGCCGUCGCCCCUCGCGAGGCUAAACUUUUACCCCCCCCGCCGUGGGCGCGCGGAGCUCUCAUUGAUGCCCCGUGGCGCGCCGCUCGCACACCUGCUUCUGUUUGCCUCCUUUGCCUCUUUUUUUUUUUUUUUUUUGUUGUCUUUUCCCGGCGCACCGGGAGCGAUGCGGCGGCAGAAACGGGGGCUCAAGUGGCGACAGAUCCUGUUGAAUUGAGGCGAGACGUCUAGACCGCAGCCCCUAAAAAAAAAAAAAAAGACAAAGUGUCCCUCCUCGGGAGUGCGUCAGAGCACGGAUGGAUAUAGUGGAGGAUGUGGCCGCUGGUUGGAGACGACGAGGGAUUUGUGGUAUUGACCCCCCCGAAAUCAGGACGGGAAUUUGGGCAGGAGCAAAGAACUGCAUCCUCACCUAGCUCCCCUCCUCCUCCUCCUCCUCCUCCUCUUCCUCCUGGAACAGAUUUGUUUGUAGGGGGGGCUGAGGCGAUUUCAUCACAUGGAGCGUCAGCGGAACAAAGUCAUUCAGAUUCAUCGGAUCUCCACAAAAUAACACCACGGAUCCAGUUUGAAGAACAGCAUUUUUCCACCACACAUCUCAUGGUGUAAAAUGGCAACCAGGCGGGACCACCGGAGGAUCGAAAGACGCAUUCGGGCCGCGCAGAGAUUAACCACCUGAUGGGCACCGGAGGGCGCGUGCAGGGACUGUUUGGGCUGCAGCUUGUUGACUUGGUGAUUUAUAACGCGCAACGGAUAGGCACAGCGCGUGCGUAACGCGCUCUCACGGCGGUGGGGGGGGGGGGGGGGGGGGG